ACUGAACUGAACCUAUUUGAUUGAAAUUCGUUUCAACGAUAUAAUUUGAGACCAUGGUAAAGAUGCAUGAUACUUUUAUCUCGGAUAUAUAAAGGGAAAAUAAUUAUGCGUUCAAAUUAGAUUACUCUCUACCGCUUAAACCACCGAGCCUAUUUGAAUGAAAUUCGGUAAAACGAUAGUUUGGGAUUCGAGAAAAUAAGUAUGAUAGAUUUUAUCCCGAAAAGCCCACGGAGUCGGAAACUGCGUUACAUUGCUGGGACUUUUUAUUUCUAUCUUUUAAAACAUUGAACUUAUUUGAGUGAAAAUCGGUAUAACUAUAGUUUGAAACCCUGGAAAGGACGUCUGAGAGUUUUCAACACGGAAAUUCCACCAGAAAACCUGCGUUAAGAUACUAGCACUCUUUACCUUUUUACAUCAUUUUACAUAUUUAGAUUUCAGAACAAUAGUUUGCAACCCGGAAAAUGACAUACUAGAAUAUAAAUAAUAUAAUACUCGUAUAGAUUUUAUCACUGUAUGGGUAGAGUUCCAGUGGGAUUGUUGAUUUGUUAAAACCACAACAAUUUAGUUUUAGUGCCAUUUUAGUAGAGUGUCACAUUUACAUUAUGCAUUUAUAAAUGACCUCUCGAUUUAAAUAAGCGCGAUGUUAUGUGACUGCGAGUACUUUUGCUACAAGUUUAUUGAUAACGCUAAAAAUAAAUAAAUUGUGAGUCGAGUUUUAGUGCCGUAUGUCUUCGUCCUGAAAUGCAUUUGCGCAGUUAGGAUCCCUGCGUUAAGGAGCUCGGCGCAGCGCGGCGGCACGGCAGAGCCACCGACGCCACCCGCCAGUACUGACGUAGCUCCUGUGAGAAAAACGUAAUUUUGUGCAAAUGGAAGUUAUAUGACAUUGGCUUUAGUCCUCUUUGGCUCCCCACUGCUCUUAGAUAGCAGUGGGGAGUCCCAUGCGGCUACCAACGAGGAAGACGAGGCAGAUGUUUUGGAGUAGCGAAGGGGCUUUACUAGUGAAAAUGCAAGCACCCUUCGCGAUCCAUGUACCGACCCCCCAAUCAAGCCGCCGGGAGCAACACACAAACAACAGCUGGGAUACAUGGAUCUUAAACCACAAUCUUCAAUCAGGCUGGAAUCACAGCGUUUUCUGUAGUUUGCCACGUUACAUAUCGCGGUGAUGUGUACACGAAUUAUUCAUGUAGAACUCUGUCUCUAUCUAAGCUAUUGUAUUGUAAUGUAUUCCAUGCAAUAAAUAGCCCUUCAAGGAAA